rnacentral:rRNA from 1 species
GACGAACGCUGGCGGCGUGCUUAACACAUGCAAGUCGAGCGGAAAGGCCCUUUCGGGGGUACUCGAGCGGCGAACGGGUGAGUAACACGUGAGUAAUCUGCCCUGCGCUCUGGGAUAGCCACCGGAAGCGGUGAUUAAUACCGGAUAGGACCACUUCACGCAUGUGAUGGUGGUGGAAAGUUUUUUCGGCGCAGGAUGUGCUCGCGGCCUAUCAGCUUGUUGGUGAGGUAACGGCUCACCAAGGCUUUGACGGGUAACCGGCCUGAGAGGGUGACCGGUCACACUGGGACUGAGACACGGCCCAGACUCCUACGGGAGGCAGCAGUGGGGAAUAUUGGACAAUGGGCGGAAGCCUGAUCCAGCAACGCCGCGUGAGGGAUGACGGCCUUCGGGUUGUAAACCUCUUUCAGUACCGACGAAGCGAAAGUGACGGUAGGUACAGAAGAAGGACCGGCCAACUACGUGCCAGCAGCCGCGGUAAUACGUAGGGUCCGAGCGUUGUCCGGAAUUAUUGGGCGUAAAGGGCUCGUAGGCGGUUUGUCGCGUCGGGAGUGAAAACACCGGGCUUAACUCGGUGCUUGCUUUCGAUACGGGCAGACUAGAGGUAUGCAGGGGAGAAUGGAAUUCCUGGUGUAGCGGUGAAAUGCGCAGAUAUCAGGAGGAACACCGGUGGCGAAGGCGGUUCUCUGGGCA